rnacentral:rRNA from 1 species
AUUGAACGCUGGCGGCAUGCUUUACACAUGCAAGUCGAACGGUAACAGGCCGCAAGGUGCUGACGAGUGGCGAACGGGUGAGUAAUGCAUCGGAACGUGCCCAGUCGUGGGGGAUAACGCAGCGAAAGCUGUGCUAAUACCGCAUACGAUCUGUGGAUGAAAGCGGGGGACCGUAAGGCCUCGCGCGAUUGGAGCGGCCGAUGUCAGAUUAGGUAGUUGGUGGGGUAAAGGCUCACCAAGCCGACGAUCUGUAGCUGGUCUGAGAGGACGACCAGCCACACUGGGACUGAGACACGGCCCAGACUCCUACGGGAGGCAGCAGCGGGGAAUUUUGGACAAUGGGCGAAAGCCUGAUCCAGCCAUGUCGCGUGCAGGAUGAAGGCCUUCGGGUUGUAAACUGCCUUUGUACGGGACGAAAAGGACUGCCCUAAUACGGUGGUCCCAUGACGGUACCGUAAGAAUAAGCACCGGCUAACUACGUGCCAGCAGCCGCCGUAAAAC